CAGAGUCAAUAGACCAGCGUAAGCUAUCUAUACACUCCACCCUUUGUCUAACUUACCUUUGUUGCUUUGGCAGGCCUGCUAUUUAGCUACCGGCUUUGGCUGGUUAGCGCCUGCCAGAGGACCUAAAACUCUUGUUAAUUUUAUUGUCUGAGUACUAUAUAAUAGUUA
rnacentral:misc_RNA from 1 species